CGAGCGAUGAGAUCACUUCGGUGAAGGAUUAGCGGCGAACGGGUGAGGAACACGUGAAGAAUCUGCCUUCAACUCUGGGAUAACUCCGGGAAACCGGGGCUAAUACCGGAUAUGAGCCUUGAUCGCAUGAUCGGGGCUGGAAAGUUUUUCGGUUGAAGAUGACUUCGCGGCCUAUCAGCUUGUUGGUGAGGUAAUGGCUCACCAAGGCGACGACGGGUAGCCGGCCUGAGAGGGUGAACGGCCACAAGGGAACUGAGACACGGUCCUUACUCC
rnacentral:rRNA from 1 species